GAUGAACGCUGGCGGCGUGCCUAAUACAUGCAAGUCGAGCGCGACUGAUUUCACCGUCCUUCGUGACACCGUCAUCAUUGGGCGGCUGACGGGUGAGUAACACGUGGUCAACCUACCCUUAAGACUGGGAUAACCGCGGUAAACCGUGGCUAAUGCCGGAGAAUACUUUUAUACAACGGUAUGUUAGUUGGGAGGUGGAUUUCUAUCACUUAAAGAUGGGCCUGCGGCGUAUUGGCUGGUUGGUAAGGUAACGGCUUACCAAGGCGACGAUGCGUAGCCGACCUGAGAGGGUGAUCGGCCACACUGGAACUGAGACACGGUCAAGACUCCUACGGGAGGCAGCAGUAGGGAAUCUUCCGCAAUGGGCGAAAGCCUGACGGAGCAACGCCGCGUGUGAGAAGAAGGUCUUCGGAUCGUAAAGCACUGUUGUUAAGGAAGAACGACAGUAAGCGUAACUGUUUACUGUGUGACGGUACUUAAUCAGAAAGCCACGGCUAACUACGUG
rnacentral:rRNA from 1 species